ensembl:lncRNA
GGCCCCAAAGCAUCUUGCUUCCAGCUCUUUGGGAAGCUAAGAACCAACUCUCUUUGCACAGUGCUCUUACAGCCUACCGGGAACAUCUCUUCCAAAGGCCUGUGAAACGCACUUUCUUGGCAGGCCUGAUCUGGCUGAAGUAGAACUUCUGCUCUGGGUGUGCUACAUUGCCCUAGAGAUUCAAGGCACAAAGCCCUGCCUUGUUUCCAAAGGGGAAGAUAAGCCCCAAAGCAUCUUGCUUCCAGCUCUUUGCGAAGCUAAGAAUCAACUCGCUGUGCACAGUGCUCUGACAGCCUACCGGGAACAUCUCUUCCAAAGGCCUGUGAAACGCACUUUCUUGGCAGGCCUGAUCUGGCUGAAGUAGAACUUCUGCUCUGGGUGUGCUACAUUGCCCUAGAGCUGCAAGACACAAAGUGUUGCCUUCUUUCCAAAGGGCAGAUGAGUCGCAAAGCAUUUUGCUUCCAGCUCUUUGGGAAGCUAAGAAACAAGUCCCUCUGCACAGUGCUCUUACAGCCUACCGGGAACAUCUCUUACAAAGGCCUGUGAAACGCAGUUUCUUUGCAGGCCUGAUACGGCUGAAGUAGAACUUCUGCUCUGGGUGUGCUACAUUGCCCUAGAGCUGCAAGGCACAAAGUGCUGCCUUCUUUCCAAAAG